rnacentral:rRNA from 1 species
UUUGUAAACUUGAACUCUAAUUGGUGUUGGUUUGAGGUUUUGUUUUUAUCUUGUUUUUUAGGGUGAAAUCAGAAAUUUUUAUUAAUGGUGCCUUAAACUUUAAGAUUUGGUGAAUGAAUCAGAUUAGUACCUGAUUAAACAAAAGUUAAAAGAGCAGGAGUAAAGUUAUGUUUAAACUGAAAGAGUAUUGGCAGGUUUUUAAAUUAUCUUUGGAGGUUGAGUAGUAAUUGAGAGCCCUCAUUAACAACUUUUACUAUAGGCGCAUGUAUGAUCGUUUAUUUUAUUCUUAAGGAUUGCAAUUUUAGAUGGGUCUCUGUUAAAAUAGAUAGAUAUUUGGUGUAUGUAAAAGAUUUAAUUUGACCUACAGUAUAUUAUUUUGUGGAUACCUCUCUAGUAGGGGGUUGAAAGUGUAAAAGACAGUAAGUUUUUUUUUAUGUAAGACUGAAGUUUAUUUAAGAACGGUACAAAUCAUCCAUCAAUUGCCUUCA